rnacentral:rRNA from 1 species
AUACGUAGGGUGCGAGCGUUGUUCGGAAUUAUUGGGCGUAAAGCGCACGUAGGCGGCCAGGUCCGUCCGAUGUGAAAGCCCCGGGCUCAACCUGGGAAUUGCAUUCGAUACUGCUUGACUAGAGUAUGGUAGAGGGAAGUGGAAUUUCCGGUGUAGCGGUGAAAUGCGUAGAUAUCGGAAGGAACACCAGUGGCGAAGGCGGCUUCCUGGGCCAAUACUGACGCUGAGGUGCGAAAGCGUGGGGAGCAAACAGGAUUAGAAACCCCAGUAGUCC